rnacentral:rRNA from 1 species
UGGGGAAUAUUGCACAAUGGGCGCAAGCCUGAUGCAGCCAUGCCGCGUGUGUGAAGAAGGCCUUUUGGUUGUAAAGCACUUUAAGCAGGGAGGAGAGGCUAAUGGUUAAUACCCAUUAGAUUAGACGUUACCUGCAGAAUAAGCACCGGCUAACUCUGUGCCAGCAGCCGCGGUAAUACAGAGGGUGCGAGCGUUAAUCGGAAUUACUGGGCGUAAAGCGAGUGUAGGUGGCUCAUUAAGUCACAUGUGAAAUCCCCGGGCUUAACCUGGGAACUGCAUGUGAUACUGGUGGUGCUAGAAUAUGUGAGAGGGAAGUAGAAUUCCAGGUGUAGCGGUGAAAUGCGUAGAGAUCUGGAGGAAUACCGAUGGCGAAGGCAGCUUCCUGGCAUAAUAUUGACACUGAGAUUCGAAAGCGUGGGUAGCAAACAGGAUUAGAUACCCUGGUAGUCCACGCCGUAAACGAUGUCUACUAGCCGUUGGGGUCCUUGAGACUUUAGUGGCGCAGUUAACGCGAUAAGUAGACCGCCUGGGGAGUACGGCCGCAAGGUUAAAACUCAAAUGAAUUGACGGGGUCAU